rnacentral:rRNA from 1 species
AGAGUUUGAUCAUGGCUCAGAACGAACGUUGGCGGCGUGGAUCAGGCAUGCAAGUCGAACGAAUCCCUGGGGCAACUCAGGGGGAAGUGGCGAAAGGGGCAGUAAGGCAUGGGUAACUUGCCUCGGGGACCGGGAUAGCCAUCCCAACGGAUGGGUAAUACCGGGCGUCGUGUCCGGAGGGCAUCCUCUGGCCACGAAAGGAGUUUCGCCCCGAGAGAGGCUCAUGUGGUAUUAGCUUGUUGGUGAGGUAACGGCCCACCAAGGCCAAGAUGCCUAGCAGGUGUGAGAGCACGACCUGCGCCACUGGCACUGUGACACUGGCCAGACUCCUACGGGAGGCUGCAGUCGAGGAUCUUCGGCAAUGAGCGCAAGCUUGACCGAGCGACGCCGCGUGUGCGAUGAAGGCCUUCGGGUUGUAAAGCACUGUCGAGGGGGAGAAAGGCCGCAAGGCUUGAUCGGCCCCUGGAGGAAGCACGGGCUAAGUUCGUGCCAGCAGCCGCGGUAAGACGAACCGUGCGAACGUUGUUCGGAAUCACUGGGCUUAAAGGGCGCGUAGGCGGGUGAUCAAGUCCGAGGUGAAAUCCUGCAGCUCAACUGUAGAAGAGCCCCGGAUACUGGUUGUCUCGAGGGAGGUAGGGGCGUGUGGAACUUCCGGUGGAGCGGUGAAAUGCGUAGAUAUCGGAAGGAACGCCGGUGGCGAAAGCGACGCGCUGGACCUCUUCUGACGCUGAGGCGCGAAAGCCAGGGGAGCAAACGGGAUUAGAUACCCCGGUAGUCCUGGCCCUAAACGAUGGGUACCAGGUAGUGGACUUGACAUGGGUUCACUGCCGGAGCAAAAGUGUUCAGUACCCCGCCUGGGGAGUAUGGUCGCAAGGCUGAAACUCAAAGGAAUUGACGGGGCUCACACAAGCGGUGGAGCAUGUGGCUUAAUUCGAGGCUACGCGAAGAACCUUAUCCUGGGCUUGACAUGUGCGAAAGCGGCAGGGAGUAGC